rnacentral:rRNA from 1 species
GAUGAACGCUGGCGGCGUGCCUAAUACAUGCGAGUCGAGCGAACAGACGAGGAGCUUGCUCCUCUGACGUUAGCGGCGGACGGGUGAGUAACACGUGGAUAACCUACCUAUCAGACUGGGAUAACUUCGGGAAACCGGAGCUAAUACCGGAUAAUAUAUUGAACCGCAUGGUUCAAUAGUGAAAGACGGUUUUGCUGUCACUUAUAGAUGGAUCCGCGCCGCAUUAGCUAGUUGGUAAGGUAACGGCUUACCAAGGCGACGAUGCGUAGCCGACCUGAGAGGGUGAUCGGCCACACUGGAACUGAGACACGGUCCAGACUCCUACGGGAGGAAGCAGUAGGGAAUCUUCCGCAAUGGGCGAAAGCCUGACGGAGCAACGCCGCGUGAGUGAUGAAGGUCUUCGGAUCGUAAAACUCUGUUAUUAGGGAAGAACAAAUGUGUAAGUAACUAUGCACGUCUUGACGGUACCUAAUCAGAAAGCCACGGCUAACUACGUG